AUGAACACACUUUUAGACCAGUACCUCGGUUUCUGUAUAUCUUCUCUCAAGACGCAAGCUGGAAUAAUGGUGAUCGAGAGUAACAGCCCUGCAGACGGCAUCGUCAAGCUCAUUGAUCAGAAUCACAUCACAGACUUUGUCAUGGGAACAUCUUCCUUCUCACUGAAGAGGAAAGUACCAAAAUCAAAAGUCGCAGCCAUCGUGCAUCUACAGGCUAAACCAUAUUGCCAGAUCUUCUAUAUUUGCAACGGAACUCUUGCUUGUUCUAGGGAGGCCACUCAGCUUUCUACAAAAGUAGUCACCCCCAAGCAACUGCACCGGCACUGCUUGGCGACCCGAGUUCCCUAA
rnacentral:rRNA from 1 species